rnacentral:pre_miRNA from 1 species
CAAAUUCAUUUUGGAACUGAACUCUCGUGGGUCUGCAGUGCACUGACCGUUGUGUUUGUUCAUUCAUUGACAUUUGAAAAUUUGUAGCACCAUGAGAUUCAGCUCUGGCGUGAAUUUC